rnacentral:rRNA from 1 species
UACAGAGGUCUCAAGCGUUGUUCGGAUUCAUUGGGCGUAAAGGGUGUGUAGGUGGCGCCGUAAGUCGGGUGUGAAAUUUCGGAGCUUAACUCCGAAACUGCAUUCGAUACGUGAUGGCUGGAGUGGGGAAGAGGGUCGUGGAAUUCCCAGUGUAGAGGUGAAAUUCGUAGAUAUUGGGAAGAACACCGGUGGCGAAGGCGGCGACCUGGUCCUUGACUGACGCUGAGGCGCGAAAGCGUGGGGAGCAAACAGG